UCAAACUUGGUCAUUUAGAGGAAGUAAAAGUCGUAACAAGGUUUCCGUAGGUGAACCUGCGGAAGGAUCAUUAGUGAUUGCCCUAGUGGCUUAAACUAUAUCCAUAUACACCUGUGAACCGUUUGAUUGACACUCUGUGUCGAUUUUACAAACAAUGUGUAAUGAACGUCUAGUUAUUAUAACAAAAAAUAACUUUCAACAACGGAUCUCUUGGCUCUCGCAUCGAUGAAGAACGCAGC
rnacentral:misc_RNA from 1 species